CAGCUCUGAUUUAUGAAUAUGCACUUUUCUUCUCAGCAGGAAAAAAAGUCUCUUCAGGAUUGUGCAUGUUCCUAGCUGUUGAGGAGAAAGUGGACAAGGCCCGCAUAUAGACUUGCAAUGUUUUGAGCCAGCUCGUAGCAUCUGAAUUCCCUUACUGCAGGUGAGAAGGAGAGUGCACAGUAAGCAGUACUACUGGAAGGAAAAGAAACACCCAGUCUCUCCUCAGGACCUAUCAAGCAAGAAACCUCUGAUGGAUGGAUUUCUGACAAUGGCACACUUUGGUUGCAGCAAGAGAGGUAUUUGGGGUAUUUGUUUAAAAUGUUUAAACUGAGUUAGAGUUCUGAUACAGGAGAGGAAAUGUAGGAUCAUAUCCACAGAUUGGUUGUAAAUAUCUUCAUAUACAGACCACAACAUCCUAUCUUACAUAAUUUACUAUUAUGCCUAAACCCCUAAAUCUGCCA
rnacentral:lncRNA from 1 species